rnacentral:rRNA from 1 species
UACGUAGGGUGCAAGCGUUGUCCGGAAUUAUUGGGCGUAAAGAGCUCGUAGGCGGUCUGUCGCGUUGUCCGUGAAAACUCACAACUCAAUUGUGGGCGUGCGGGCGAUACGGGCAGACUGGAGUACUGCAGGGGAGACUGGAAUUCCUGGUGUAGCGGUGGAAUGCGCAGAUAUCAGGAGGAACACCGGUGGCGAAGGCGGGUCUCUGGGCAGUAACUGACGCUGAGGAGCGAAAGCGUGGGGAGCGAACAGG